UACGUAGGCUGCGAGCGUUGUUCGGAAUUACUGGGCGUAAAGAGUGUGUAGGCGGUGCUCUAAGUUCGGUGUGAAAUCUCCUGGCUUAACUGGGAGGGUGCGCCGGAAACUGGAGUGCUCGAGUGUGGGAGAGGAAAGCGGAAUUCCUGGUGUAGCGGUGAAAUGCGUAGAUAUCAGGAGGAACACCUGUGGUGUAGACGGCUUUCUGGACCAUUGCUGACGCUGAGACACGAAAGCGUGGGUAGCAAACAGG
rnacentral:rRNA from 1 species